rnacentral:rRNA from 1 species
UACAGAGGGGGCAAGCGUUGUUCGGAAUUACUGGGCGUAAAGGGCGCGUAGGCGGCCCGCUAAGUCGAACGUGAAAUCCCCGAGCUCAACUCGGGAACUGCGUCCGAUACUGGCGGGCUUGAAUCCGGGAGAGGGAUGCGGAAUUCCAGGUGUAGCGGUGAAAUGCGUAGAUAUCAGGAGGAACACCGAUGGCGAAGGCAGCUCGCUGGGACGGUACUGACACUGAGGCGCGAAAGCGUGGGGAGCGAACAGG